UACAGAGGUCUCAAGCGUUGUUCGGAUUCAUUGGGCGUAAAGGGUGCGUAGGCGGCGCGGUAAGUCGGGUGUGAAAUUUCGAGGCUUAACUUCGAAACUGCAUUCGAUACUGCCGUGCUCGAGGACUGGAGAGGAGACUGGAAUUUACGGUGUAGCAGUGAAAUGCGUAGAGAUCGUAAGGAAGACCAGUGGCGAAGGCGGGUCUCUGGACAGUUCCUGACACUGAGGCACGAAGGCCAGGGGAGCAAACGGG
rnacentral:rRNA from 1 species